AGAGAUCGAGGAGCAGCAUGCCGCCAUUUCUGAAAAAUGCCGUCUGCCACCUCAAGUCGUCUGCGGCAGCGAGCUGAACGAAGCGCCAGUUCGGUACGAAGUGAAAGGGCUUCUAUCUCACGAGCUACCAGUAAUAGAUAGUUCGGGUUGAGAGAUGAUUGCGAUUCGCUGACAGGGAUCGCACGCAUCGAUCGCUCAGGGGAGACAACCCACCCGGGAUAUACGUAGACAAGCGGAUCUGUCCUGGGUUCCGGUAUAAGGUGCGGUAUAACGGGAGAGACGAGGAGCUAUUUGACGGGGAGGCACGCACUCUGCUCAGCGUCGGGAUGGGCUAUGGCAAGCGGCUGACCUUUGAAGGAGAGA
rnacentral:misc_RNA from 1 species